UACAGAGGUCCCAAGCGUUGUUCGGAUUCACUGGGCGUAAAGGGUGCGUAGGCGGGUCUUUAAGUCAGGGGUGAAAUCCUGGAGCUCAACUCCAGAACUGCCUUUGAUACUGAAGAUCUUGAGUUCGGGAGAGGUGAGUGGAACUGCGAGUGUAGAGGUGAAAUUCGUAGAUAUUCGCAAGAACACCAGUGGCGAAGGCGGCUCACUGGCCCGAUACUGACGCUGAGGCACGAAAGCGUGGGGAGCAAACAGG
rnacentral:rRNA from 1 species